rnacentral:rRNA from 1 species
UUAUAUUCCUUUUUAUCAAAAGAUAAAAAGGGAAAGAUUUAUUGGUAAGAGAUUAGCCUGUAUUGUAUCAGUUAGUUGGUGGGGUAAUGGCCUACCAAGACGAUGACGCAUAACUGGUUUGAGAGGAUGAUCAGUCACACUGGAACUGAGACACGGUCCAGACUCCUACGGGAGGCAGCAGUGGGGAAUAUUGCACAAUGGACGAAAGUCUGAUGCAGCAACGCCGCGUGGAGGAUGACACAUUUCGGUGCGUAAACUCCUUUUAUAUAAGAAGAUAAUGACGGUAUUAUAUGAAUAAGCACCGGCUAACUCCGUGCCAGCAGCCGCGGUAAUACGGAGGGUGCAAGCGUUACUCGGAAUCACUGGGCGUAAAGAGCGUGUAGGCGGAUUGAUAAGUUUGAAGUGAAAUCCUAUAGCUUAACUAUAGAACUGCUUUGAAAACUGUUAAUCUAGAAUGUGGGAGAGGUAGAUGGAAUUUCUGGUGUAGGGGUAAAAUCCGUAGAGAUCAGAAGGAAUACCGAUUGCGAAGGCGAUCUACUGGAACAAUAUUGACGCUGAGACGCGAAAGCGUGGGGAGCAAACAGGAUUAGAUACCCUGGUAGUCCACGCCCUAAACGAUGUACACUAGUUGUUGUGAGGCUCGACCUUGCAGUAAUGCAGUUAACACAUUAAGUGUACCGCCUGGGGAGUACGGUCGCAAGAUUAAAACUCAAAGGAAUAGACGGGGACCCGCACAAGCGGUGGAGCAUGUGGUUUAAUUCGACGAUACACGAAGAACCUUACCUGGACUUGACAUAGUAAGAAUGAUUUAGAGAUAGAUUAGUGUCUGCUUGCAGAAACUUGCAUACAGGUGCUGCACGGCUGUCGUCAGCUCGUGUCGUGAGAUGUUGGGUUAAGUCCCGCAACGAGCGCAACCCUCGUCCUUAGUUGCUAACAGUUCGGCUGAGAACUCUAAGGAGACUGCCUACGCAAGUAGGAGGAAGGUGAGGAUGACGUCAAGUCAUCAUGGCCCUUACGUCCAGGGCUACACACGUGCUACAAUGGGGUAUACAAAGAGCAGCAAUACGGUGACGUGGAGCAAAUCUCAAAAAUGCCUCCCAGUUCGGAUUGUAGUCUGCAACUCGACUACAUGAAGUUGGAAUCGCUAGUAAU